CUACGGGUUGCUGCAGUGAGGAAUUUUGCGCAAUGGGGGAAACCCUGACGCAGCAACGCCGCGUGAGCGAAGAAGGCCUUCGGGUCGUAAAGCUCUGUCAAGUGGGAAAAAACGCUUUAGAUUAAUAGUCUAAAGAAUUGAUGGUACCACUAGAGGAAGCACCGGCUAACUCCGUGCCAGCAGCCGCGGUAAUACGGAGGGUGCAAGCGUUGUUCGGAAUUACUGGGCGUAAAGCGCGUGCAGGCGGUUUGGCAAGUCAGAUGUGAAAGCCCUGGGCUCAACCCGGGAAGUGCAUUUGAAACUGCCUUUCUUGAGUAUGGGAGAGGAGAGUGGAAUUCCCAGUGUAGAGGUGAAAUUCGUAGAUAUUGGGAGGAACACCCGUGGCGAAGGCGACUCUCUGGACCAAUACUGACGCUGAGACGCGAAAGCGUGGGGAGCAAACAGGAUUAGAUACCCUGGUAGUC
rnacentral:rRNA from 1 species